GCCGAGAGACUGGCUGUGACAGACUGGUAAGUGAUUUAUCUGGGCUCCUAACUCCCCGCAGUAAAAGAUGUCUUGGAAAUAAAUGUGUGAUUAAUUUUGGCAUUGUUUCCUUCUCCCCCUCCCCCAUUAAAACUUUUUCCCCCCCUCAUUAGGAAACUUGACUUUGGCCAACAGUGGCACGAAGGCGCCGCCAAGGGAAGAUGCUGCGUGCAAAACUAGAGGAAGAAGGCGUGUGCAAAAUUGAGACAAAAGCCCCUGAGCUCCUCCCAGCGUGCCAAGAUGCCUCUUUGGGAUCGGUUUUCUACAGCUAAUAAGGAAAUUUUAACCUCGUGAUGACUUUUUAACAUCUGAUGCGACGAACGUAUUUGUGUGGAACAGAAAAAAUUCACAAAGUUUAUACUUACUGUACAUCUGCUAAACAUGUUUUUAUUCUUUUUAAGGGCAACCAAGGACGUUUUUCUCCAUUAACCUCAAGUUGUUGGUGAAUAGCGUAGCGAAAACAAGACAGAAUUUAGAAAUACUUAAUUAUAUGCUCCAAUUUUAGGCAGUGGGGUGUAAAUUCUUAUUAAUAAUUUUGGGAAAGCUGGAUCUCAGGUUUGGUGUUGUGAAUUCCCCAGAACAUUAAUGAGCGAACUUAAUAUCAUUUUCCACUCAGCACAUUUCAUCCGAGAAUAAAGAGGACACAUCCACUGAGCUGGUUUUGAAAAAGCCGACAUAAUUUUCAAAUGACUUAAAACAGGAGACUCUGAUACUUCUGUGUGUUACUUAACUCAAAAUGCCUUUUUACUUGUAAAGCCAUUA